rnacentral:rRNA from 1 species
AAAUUGAAGAGUUUGAUCAUGGCUCAGAUUGAACGCUGGCGGCAGGCCUAACACAUGCAAGUCGAGCGGUAGCACAGAGAGCUUGCUCUCGGGUGACGAGCGGCGGACGGGUGAGUAAUGUCUGGGAAACUGCCUGAUGGAGGGGGAUAACUACUGGAAACGGUAGCUAAUACCGCAUAACGUCGCAAGACCAAAGUGGGGGACCUUCGGGCCUCAUGCCAUCAGAUGUGCCCAGAUGGGAUUAGCUAGUAGGUGGGGUAACGGCUCACCUAGGCGACGAUCCCUAGCUGGUCUGAGAGGAUGACCAGCCACACUGGAACUGAGACACGGUCCAGACUCCUACGGGAGGCAGCAGUGGGGAAUAUUGCACAAUGGGCGCAAGCCUGAUGCAGCCAUGCCGCGUGUGUGAAGAAGGCCUUCGGGUUGUAAAGCACUUUCAGCGGGGAGGAAGGCGGUGAGGUUAAUAACCU